rnacentral:rRNA from 1 species
GCAUUGGAGACAGGUGGUGCAUGGUUGUCGUCAGCUCGUGUCGUGAGAUGUUGGGUUAAGUCCCGCAACGAGCGCAACCCUUAUCUUUAGUAGCCAGCAGUAAGAUGGGAACUCUAGAGAGACUGCCGGGGAUAACCCGGAGGAAGGUGGGGAUGACGUCAAAUCAUCAUGCCCCUUAUGAUUUGGGCUACACACGUGCUACAAUGGCGUGAACAGAGGGAAGCGAAGGGGUGACCUGAAGCAAAUCCCAAAAAACACGUCUCAGUUCGGAUUGUAGUCUGCAACUCGACUACAUGAAGCUGGAAUCGCUAGUAAUCGCGAAUCAGAAUGUCGCGGUGAAUACGUUCCCGGGUCUUGUACACACC